rnacentral:rRNA from 1 species
CAAGUCGAACGCGAAAGUUCCGCAAGGGAUGAGUAGAGUGGCAAACGGGUGAGUAACGCGUGGGUGACCUGCCUUCGAGUGGGGGAUAACGUUCCGAAAGGGACGCUAAUACCGCAUGACAUCCUGCCUUUCAAGAGGUGGAGAUCAAAGCUGGGGAUCGCAAGACCUAGCGCUUGAAGAGGGGCCCGCGUCCGAUUAGCUAGUUGGUGGGGUAAUGGCUCACCAAGGCAACGAUCGGUAGCCGGCCUGAGAGGGCGGACGGCCACACUGGGACUGAGACACGGCCCAGACUCCUACGGGAGGCAGCAGUAGGGAAUUGUUCGCAAUGGGCGCAAGCCUGACGACGCAACGCCGCGUGGAGGAUGAAGAUCUUCGGGUCGUAAACUCCUUUCGAUUGGGACGAAUUCCUCGAGGGUGAACAAUCCUUGGGGUUGACGGUACCGAGAGAAGAAGCCCCGGCUAACUCCGUGCCAGCAGCCGCGGUAAUACGGGGGGGGCAAGCGUUGUUCGGAAUUACUGGGCGUAAAGGGCUCGUAGGCGGCCAACUAAGUCAGACGUGAAAUCCCUCGGCUUAACCGGGGAACUGCGUCUGAUACUGGAUGGCUUGAGUUCGGGAGAGGGAUGCGGAAUUCCAGGUGUAGCGGUGAAAUGCGUAGAUAUCUGGAGGAACACCGGUGGCGAAGGCGGCAUCCUGGACCGAUACUGACGCUGAGGAGCGAAAGCCAGGGGAGCAAACGGGAUUAGAUACCCCGGUAGUCCUGGCCCUAAACGAUGAAUGCUUGGUGUGGCGGGUAUCGAUCCCUGC